GAGUUUGAUCAUGGCUCAGAUUGAACGCUGGCGGCAGGCCUAACACAUGCAAGUCGAGCGGUAGAGAGAAGCUUGCUUCUCUUGAGAGCGGCGGACGGGUGAGUAAUGCCUAGGAAUCUGCCUGGUAGUGGGGGAUAACGCUCGGAAACGGACGCUAAUACCGCAUACGUCCUACGGGAGAAAGCAGGGGACCUUCGGGCCUUGCGCUAUCAGAUGAGCCUAGGUCGGAUUAGCUAGUUGGUGAGGUAAUGGCUCACCAAGGCGACGAUCCGUAACUGGUCUGAGAGGAUGAUCAGUCACACUGGAACUGAGACACGGUCCAGACUCCUACGGGAGGCAGCAGUGGGGAAUAUUGGACAAUGGGCGAAAGCCUGAUCCAGCCAUGCCGCGUGUGUGAAGAAGGUCUUCGGAUUGUAAAGCAC
rnacentral:rRNA from 1 species